GACGAACGCUGGCGGCGUGCUUAACACAUGCAAGUCGAACGGAAAGGCCUUUUCGGAGGUACUCGAGUGGCGAACGGGUGAGUAACACGUGGGUGAUCUGCCCUGCACUCUGGGAUAAGCCUGGGAAACUGGGUCUAAUACCGGAUAGGACCGCACUUUAGUGUGUGUGGUGGAAAGUUUUUUCGGUGUAGGAUGAGCCCGCGGCCUAUCAGCUUGUUGGUGGGGUAAUGGCCUACCAAGGCGGCGACGGGUAGCCGGACUGAGAGGUUGGUCGGCCACAUUGGGACUGAGAUACGGCCCAGACUCCUACGGGAGGCAGCAGUGGGGAAUAUUGCACAAUGGGCGCAAGCCUGAUGCAGCGACGCCGCGUGGGGGAUGACGGCCUUCGGGUUGUAACCUCCUUUCGCCAGGGACGAAGCGUUUUGUGACGGUACCUGGAGAAGAAGCACCGGCUAACUACGUG
rnacentral:rRNA from 1 species